rnacentral:rRNA from 1 species
CCUACGGGAGGCAGCAGUGGGGAAUCUUGCGCAAUGGGCGAAAGCCUGACGCAGCAACGCCGCGUGCGGGAAGAAGGCUUUCGGGCUGUAAACCGCUUUCAGCAGGAACGAAAAAUGACGGUACCUGCAGAAGAAGGAGCGGCCAACUAUGUGCCAGCAGCCGCGGUGAUACAUAGGCUUCAAGCGUUGUCCGGAUUUAUUGGGCGUAAAGAGUUCGUAGGCGGUCGAGUAAGUCGGGUGUGAAAAUUCUGGGCUCAACCCAGAGACGCCACCCCGAUACUGCUUAACUUGAGUUCGAUAGGGGAGUGGGGAAUUCCUAGUGUAGCGGUGAAAUGCGCAGAUAUUAGGAGGAACACCGGUGGCGAAGGCGCCACUCUGGAUCGAUACUGACGCUGAGGAACGAAAGCAUGGGUAGCAAACAGGAUUAGAUACCCUGGUGGUCCAUGCCGUAAACGGUGGGCACUAGGUGUGGGAUUCUAUUAACGAAUUCCGCGCCGUCGCUAACGCAUUAAGUGCCCGCCUGGGAGUACGGUCGCAAGACAAAACUUAAAUGAAUUGAG